GGUUUAGCAAAUCUCUUAAAGCCGUUCUCAGUUCGGAUUGUAGGCUGCAACUCGCCUACAUGAAGUCGGAAUCGCUAGUAAUCGCGGAUCAGCAUGCCGCGGUGAAUACGUUCCCGGGCCUUGUACACACCGCCCGUCACACCAUGAGAGUUUGUAACACCCAAAGCCGGUGGGGUAACCUUUUGGAGCCAGCCGUCUAAGGUGGGACAGAUGAUUGGGGUGAAGUCGUAACAAGGUAGC
rnacentral:rRNA from 1 species